ACGAACGCUGGCGGCGUGCUUAACACCUGCAAGUCGAACGGAAAGGCCCUGCUUUUGUGGGGUGCUCGAGUGGCGAACGGGUGAGUAACACGUGAGUAACCUGCCCUUGACUUUGGGAUAACUUCAGGAAACUGGGGCUAAUACCGGAUAGGAGCUCCUGCUGCAUGGUGGGGGUUGGAAAGUUUCGGCGGUGGGGGAUGGACUCGCGGCUUAUCAGCUUGUUGGUGGGGUAGUGGCUUACCAAGGCUUUGACGGGUAGCCGGCCUGAGAGGGUGACCGGCCACAUUGGGACUGAGAUACGGCCCAGACUCCUACGGGAGGCAGCAGUGGGGAAUAUUGCACAAUGGGCGGAAGCCUGAUGCAGCAACGCCGCGUGCGGGAUGACGGCCUUCGGGUUGUAAACCGCUUUCGCCUGUGACGAAGCGUGAGUGACGGUAAUGGGUAAAGAAGCACCGGCUAACUACGUG
rnacentral:rRNA from 1 species